rnacentral:rRNA from 1 species
CGCGUGGGAACGUGCCCCAAAGUGAGGGAUAACGCACCGAAAGGUGUGCUAAUACCGCAUAUGGUCUUCGGAUUAAAGAAUUUAUUCGCUUUGGGAGCGGCCCGCGUCGGAUUAGGUUGUUGGUGAGGUAAUGGCUCACCAAGCCGACGAUCCGUAGCUGGUCUGAGAGGAUGACCAGCCAAACUGGAACUGAGACACGGUCCAGACUCCUACGGGAGGCAGCAGUGAGGAAUCUUCCACAAUGGGGGCAACCCUGAUGGAGCAACGCCGCGUGCAGGAUGAAGGCCUUCGGGUUGUAAACUGCUUUUAUUUGUGAGGAAUAUGACGGUAACAAAUGAAUAAGGGUCGGCUAACUACGUG